rnacentral:rRNA from 1 species
GAUGAACGCUGGCGGCGUGCCUAAUACAUGCAAGUCGAGCGAACAGACGAGGAGCUUGCUCCUCUGACGUUAGCGGCGGACGGGUGAGUAACACGUGGAUAACCUACCUAUAAGACUGGGAUAACUUCGGGAAACCGGAGCUAAUACCGGAUAAUAUAUUGAACCGCAUGGUUCAAUAGUGAAAGACGGUUUUGCUGUCACUUAUAGAUGGAUCCGCGCCGCAUUAGCUAGUUGGUAAGGUAACGGCUUACCAAGGCAACGAUGCGUAGCCGACCUGAGAGGGUGAUCGGCCACACUGGAACUGAGACACGGUCCAGACUCCUACGGGAGGCAGCAGUAGGAAAUCUUCCGCAAUGGGCGAAAGCCUGACGGAGCAACGCCGCGUGAGUGAUGAAGGUCUUCGGAUCGUAAAACUCUGGUAUUAGGGAAGAACAAAUGUGUAAGUAACUAUGCACGUCUUGACGGUACCUGAUCAGAAAGCCACGGCUAACUACGUG